rnacentral:rRNA from 1 species
AUUGAACGCUGGCGGCAUGCCUUUCACAUGCAAGUCGAACGGUAACAGGUCUUCGGAUGCUGACGAGUGGCGAACGGGUGAGUAAUACAUCGGAACGUGCCUAGUAGUGGGGGAUAACUACUCGAAAGAGUGGCUAAUACCGCAUGAGAUCUACGGAUGAAAGCAGGGGAUCGCAAGACCUUGUGCUACUAGAGCGGCCGAUGGCAGAUUAGGUAGUUGGUGGGAUAAAAGCUUACCAAGCCGACGAUCUGUAGCUGGUCUGAGAGGACGAUCAGCCGCAGUGGGACUGAGACACGGCCCAGACUCCUACGGGAGGCAGCAGUGGGGAAUUUUGGACAAUGGGCGAAAGCCUGAUCCAGCAAUGCCGCGUGCAGGAUGAAGUCCUUCGGGUUGUAAACUGCUUUUGUACGGAACGAAAAGCCCCGGGUUAAUACCCUGGGGUCAUGACGGUACCGUAAGAAUAAGCACCGGCUAACUACGUGCCAGCCGCCACCGUAA